GUGAGCGUAGCCGAGUGGUUUAAGGCGUCAGGUUGUGGCCCUGAAGAACGAGGGUUCGAAUCCCUCCGCUCACCCCA
rnacentral:tRNA from 1 species